CUUCACAGCGUCCGUUCUUUCUUUUGCCAAGAUUGGUACGAUGCUCCCUGGAGAAAAAGUGUUGUUAGCCACAACUGUCCCCAUUGCUACCCCAGAUGCAA